rnacentral:lncRNA from 1 species
GGCAUUAGUCCGUAUUUAAUUUUGCAAUCUUUUUUAACGUAAUAAAUGACUAAUGAAGACAUAUGCAUGUGUAGCUACUCGACCGUAUAUACCAUAUAUUAUUAUAUAAUAAUAAUUCUUGGCAUCUGUACUAUUUAGCGCGUACUGUGAAGGCAUAUGCAUGUGUAGCUAUUCGACAAUACCAUAUAUUAUUAUAUAAUUGUCGGCAUCUAUACUAUAUAGCGGG